AGUGAACGCUGGCGGUAGGCCUAACACAUGCAAGUCGAACGGCAGCACAGUAAGAGCUUGCUCUUACGGGUGGCGAGUGGCGGACGGGUGAGGAAUACAUCGGAAUCUACUUUUUCGUGGGGGAUAACGUAGGGAAACUUACGCUAAUACCGCAUACGACCUACGGGUGAAAGCAGUGGAUCUUCUGACCUUGCGCGAAUGAAUGAGCCGAUGUCGGAUUAGCUAGUUGGCGGGUUAAAGGCCCACCAAGGCGACGAUCCGUAGCUGGUCUGAGAGGAUGAUCAGCCACACUGGAACUGAGACACGGUCCAGACUCCUACGGGAGGCAGCAGUGUGGAAUAUUGGACAAUGGGCGCAAGCAUGAUCCAGCGAUGCCGCGUGGGAGAAGAAAGCCUUCGGGUUGUAAAGCCCUUUUGUUGGGAAAGAAAAGCAGCAGGUUAAUACCCCGCUGUUCUGACGGUACCCAAAGAAUAAGCACCGGCUAACUUCGUG
rnacentral:rRNA from 1 species